rnacentral:tRNA from 1 species
GCGGAUAUAGUUUAAUGGCAGAACACGAGCUUCCCAAGCUUGCGAUGCGGGUUCGAUUCCCGUUAUCCGCU